rnacentral:lncRNA from 1 species
AUCAAUUCUAAGUCCAAAAUGGGGGUUGCAAGAAUUCUUGUUAUUGUUGACAAUUUAAGGAGCUUUAAUAAGAUUUUUGCAGUAGAAAUUAGUAAUCGCAGGUAUCAUAUUUUCGUUCAAGAUGAGCUUGGUGGAUCUUUAUCGUUAUUCAAUUGUGGUACGUUCUUAGGCAAUGUUGCUCCAAGGUAUGUUCAAUUCUCUGAUAACAAUAUCUCUUGUGCUUACUCGAGUAAUGCUGAUGUUUCAAGUGAGCCCUCUCAAGAGAAUAUCUUGGUUAUGGAUUCGGUGGGGGAUUACGCCCAAGGUGAGAAUUCUCUUCAUG